rnacentral:rRNA from 1 species
UACGUAGGGGGCAAGCGUUGUCCGGAAUCAUUGGGCGUAAAGAGCGUGUAGGCGGCCAGAAAAGUCCGCUGUGAAAACUCGAGGCUCAACUUCGAGCUGUCGGUGGAAACUUUCUGGCUAGAGUCCGGAAGAGGAGAGUGGAAUUCCUGGUGUAGCGGUGAAAUGCGUAGAUAUCAGGAGGAACACCGGUGGUGUAGACGGCUUUCUGGACCGUAACUGACGCUGAGACACGAAAGCGUGGGUAGCAAACAGG